ACGCGUGGGAAUCUGCCCCUUGCUUCGGAAUAACAGUUAGAAAUGACUGCUAAUACCGGAUGAUGACUUCGGUCCAAAGAUUUAUCGGCAAGGGAUGAGCCCGCGUAGGAUUAGGUAGUUGGUGGGGUAAAGGCCUACCAAGCCGACGAUCCUUAGCUGGUCUGAGAGGAUGAUCAGCCACACUGGGACUGAGACACGGCCCAGACUCCUACGGGAGGCAGCAGUGGGGAAUAUUGGACAAUGGGCGAAAGCCUGAUCCAGCAAUGCCGCGUGAGUGAUGAAGGCCUUAGGGUUGU
rnacentral:rRNA from 1 species